GAAGAUGAAGCAGAGGAAGGAGCAAAUGUAGCAGCAGGUGCUUCCAGACCCCGCAGAAUAGUGGAAAACACAGCUUUCCAGAAUCUCCAACAGAGGUUCCAGGAAAGAAUAGAUGCUGAGAACCGUGUGGAUCCCUAUUGCUUUCAAAAUGACCCCCAGUGGGGUCCCAAUGAGCAACGUCCAGCCCCAAUUCAAGACACAGAGGGACGUUUGCAAAAUCUAAAUUGGUGCAAAUGCCACAAGUGCCACAUAAUGACCGCAGUAGAGGAAAGCCUAUGCUGUUGGGAGUUUGCUAAAAUAAGUAGCUUCAAACAAAGUUAUGAUUGUAUCUGUCUGCACCCAGCAUUUGAUGAAGUAGUCCUUGAUGUGAGAAACCUUCUCCUUCAUAUUCAUAUGUUGAAUGAGAUUACUGAAAGACAACUCUGAAGGGAUACCAAUAGGCAUUUAAGAUGGACAGCCUAUCGUGCUUUUACCGCCAUGAUAUAUGGAUUUCUUGGCAAGGGUAAUCGGGUCCCUAUACCCUCAUGCGCAGUUAUAAGAAUAAGGGAGAAAUUUCCAGAUGAAGCUUCCAAUUACACUGGAUUCCAAUGGUACUCUGACUACUAUACCAAUCGCCCUCCUUAUGGACAAAAUUUUUAAAUCUACCUCACUGUUAGCUGAAUUUUCCAUUGUUUUAUUGCACAUCGUUUGAAAAAUGUACCAUUUUACCUUUGCAUUUACCAUUUGUCAUUGUACCCUAGUAACCCUUUACUCUCCUCCUUUGAUUUUUAAGGGUCCUGCGUUGUCCUGCUGCAGUUCCUGACUGUGCUCCUCUUGUUGUGGAAAGCUUGACAAUUGUAAAAGGAGAUGCUUUAGGACAUAGAUUGUCAAACAUCGUCAUGGAGAAUUAUUAACUUGAUCUCCUUUAAAAGUUAACUUUUAAUAUAUCCAUUUAAAUGUAUACCAACAA